rnacentral:rRNA from 1 species
GACGAACGCUGGCGGCGUGCUUAACACAUGCAAGUCGAGCGAUGAAGCUCCUUCGGGAGUGGAUUAGCGGCGGACGGGUGAGUAACACGUGGGUAACCUGCCUCAUAGAGGGGAAUAGCCUUCCGAAAGGAAGAUUAAUACCGCAUAAGAUUGUAGUUUCGCAUGAAACAGCAAUUAAAGGAGUAAUCCGCUAUGAGAUGGACCCGCGUCGCAUUAGCUAGUUGGUGAGGUAACGGCUCACCAAGGCGACGAUGCGUAGCCGACCUGAGAGGGUGAUGGGCCACAUUGGGACUGGGACACGGGCCAGACUCCUACGGGAGGCGGCAGUGGGGAAUAUUGCACAAUGGGGGAAACCCUGAUGCAGCAACGCCGCGUGAGUGAUGACGGUCUUCGGAUUGUAAAGCUCUGUCCUCAAGGAAGAUAAUGACGGUACUUGAGGAGGAAGCCCCGGCUAACUACGUGCCAGCCGCCGCAGUAA